UACAGAGGGGGCAAGCGUUGUUCGGAAUUACUGGGCGUAAAGGGCGCGUAGGCGGCUUGGGAAGUCUGUGGUGAAAGCUCGUGGCUCAACUGCGAGUCGGCCAUAGAUACUCCUAAGCUCGAGUCGACUAGAGGCAGAUGGAAUUCCGGGUGUAGCGGUGGAAUGCGUAGAGAUCCGGAAGAACACCGGUGGCGAAGGCGGUCUGCUGGGGUCGAACUGACGCUGAGGCGCGACAGCGUGGGGAGCAAACAGG
rnacentral:rRNA from 1 species